UUUAUUUUAUAUAUAUUUAUUGAACAAAUAUAAAUCUCUCGUUAUUAUUUGAAACAUUAAAAUAUUAUUAAAACCUAAAUUUGAUAUCACUACACUAAUUUUGAAAAUCAAAUAAA